rnacentral:lncRNA from 1 species
GCCAGUACGAGGCAGGACAAUUGAUCUUGGCGUGCGGGUUAAGACUCAAGACGACACGAGACACCAUCAACCUGCUGUCACCGGAAUGAUCCCUUCUUGUAGUCCUUCCAAGUUAACUUCUGAAUCCUGCAUGAAAAACUUGUUCCACUUGCCACUUGACAAGCAGGCCUUUCAGAUUAUAAAUUAGCAUUGCUAUUGCGGUCAUUGAAGAUCUUCCUGUAUAGAUUUUGAAUCAAAGACAAGCAUUUCGU